rnacentral:rRNA from 1 species
AGAACGAACGCUGGCGGCAUGCCUAAUACAUGCAAGUCGAACGAACUCUUCGGAGUUAGUGGCGCACGGGUGCGUAACGCGUGGGAAUCUGCCCCUUGGUUCGGAAUAACAGUUGGAAACGACUGCUAAUACCGGAUGAUGACGAAAGUCCAAAGAUUUAUCGCCAAGGGAUGAGCCCGCGUAGGAUUAGCUAGUUGGUGAGGUAAAGGCUCACCAAAGGCAAACGUAGU